GACGAACGCUGGCGGCGUGCUUAACACAUGCAAGUCGAGCGGUAAGGCCCUUUCGGGGGUACACGAGCGGCGAACGGGUGAGUAACACGUGGGUGACCUGCCCUCAGCUCUGGGAUAAGCCUGGGAAACUGGGUCUAAUACUGGAUAUGACUCCACGGUGCAUGUCGUGGGGUGGAAAGCCUUGUGCGGCUGAGGAUGGGCCCGCGGCCUAUCAGCUUGUUGGUGGGGUGANGGCCUACCAAGGCGACGACGGGUAGCCGGCCUGAGAGGGCGACCGGCCACACUGGGACUGAGAUACGGCCCAGACUCCUACGGGAGGCAGCAGUGGGGAAUCUUGCGCAAUGGGCGAAAGCCUGACGCAGCGACGCCGCGUGAGGGAUGACGGCCUCGGUGUAAC
rnacentral:rRNA from 1 species